rnacentral:rRNA from 1 species
AUUGAACGCUGGCGGCAUGCUUUACACAUGCAAGUCGAGCGGCAGCGCGGGGGCAACCCUGGCGGCGAGCGGCGAACGGGUGAGUAAUAUAUCGGAACGUGCCCAAUAGUGGGGGAUAGCCCGGCGAAAGCCGGAUUAAUACCGCAUACGACCUGAGGGUGAAAGCGGGGGAUCGCAAGACCUCGCGCUAUUGGAGCGGCCGAUAUCAGAUUAGGUAGUUGGUGGGGUAAAGGCCUACCAAGCCUACGAUCUGUAGCUGGUCUGAGAGGACGACCAGCCACACUGGGACUGAGACACGGCCCAGACUCCUACGGGAGGCAGCAGUGGGGAAUUUUGGACAAUGGGCGCAAGCCUGAUCCAGCCAUGCCGCGUGCGGGAUUAAGGCCCUAUGGGUUGUAAACUUCUUUUAGACGGGACAAAACCCCUUUACGUGUAAAGGGUUGAUGGUACUGUCAGAAUAAGCAUCGGCUAACUUCGUGCCAGCAGCCGCGGUAAA